GGGUGUGAUCAUACCGACGUUUAUUCACCGGAUCCCAUCAGAACUUCGUAGUUAAUCACGCUUGGGCUAGAGUAGUAUUGGAAUAGGUGACCUCCCGGGAAGUCCUAGUGUUGCACCCU
rnacentral:rRNA from 1 species